rnacentral:lncRNA from 1 species
GUUGGUGCGUUUGCGCGGUUGCCGUUAGAGCAUUAGCCGGCGUCUCAGAGAGCGUGAGGAAUAGGAAGCGGCCAGUUGCGCCAUUAUGUACGGCAACCGCUGUCUGCGGCAGCGCAAGGAACUCGCCGAACUCCGGCGGGAUCGGGCCAGAGAGCAGCUCCGUGUAGAUGGCCAGCUUCUCCAGGUUCUCGAGUCGCCCGUGCUCGCCAGGAGGGGGCUCCGUGUAGAUGGCUGUGUUUUCGUCUGCGCCUGUGUCCGCCUGCACUUCGCCGGGGGGUGUCCGGCUGCCAGUUCGGGGACGAGUGGCAGCUCCUCUUCACGAAAAGCUCAAGGGCUAGCUCAGCCAUGGAGCAGGUCACCAGAAUCCAUCAGUAGAACUUCGGCCUGGAGGUCAUCGGCUAGCUAGCUGGCCACAGGCCCACAGCCACGGUCACCAAGAAGAUGGCGCCAUGUUGCAGUGUGCGCGAUGGAGAAGACGGUUCACUGAAUGAAC